GUGGGGAAUAUUGGGCAAUGGGGGAAACCCUGACCCAGCAACGCCGCGUGAAGGAAGAAGGUUUUCGGAUCGUAAACUUCUAUCCUUGGUGAAGAUAAUGACGGUAGCCAAGAAGGAAGCCCCGGCUAACUACGUGCCAGCAGCCGCGGUAAUACGUAGGGGGCAAGCGUUGUCCGGAAUGAUUGGGCGUAAAGGGCGCGUAGGCGGCCUGGUAAGUCUGGAGUGAAAGUCCUGCUUUUAAGGUGGGAAUUGCUUUGGAUACUGUCGGGCUUGAGUGCAGGGGAGGUAAGCGGAAUUCCCGGUGUAGCGGUGAAAUGCGUAGAGAUCGGGAGGAACACCAGUGGCGAAGGCGGCUUACUGGACUGUAACUGACGCUGAGGCGCGAAAGUGUGGGGAGCAAACAGGAUUAGAAACCCGAGUAGUCC
rnacentral:rRNA from 1 species